rnacentral:lncRNA from 1 species
AUAGAUGUUAAUAAUAAUUUGUAUUGUUUGGGAAAUAAGAAGAAACUGUGUACCUCCAGUUUCAUUUUCUAGACCAUUUCCCACCUUUAGUUUGUUGAAUCUGCAGAUUCAGGACCCAUGGGUUGGCAGGGCUCAAUGUAUUUCCCCUUUGACCUUCCCUCCAGGAUUUCCCAGCUCCCCACCAAAGAUUGUCCUUUCAGACAGAUGCUUUGCCACACAACCUCCCCUCUACUUUCAACCAAGGAGCCCUCCAUUCUUCCAUGCCCCAGCUGUAUCCUGUGCUCUUGAACGUCUCUUAAAUUUUCCUGGCUCCCUUUGGGCAGCACCUUGUCUGUGAGACUUGUUGUGAUGAGAGAAGGGUCCUGACUCUGCCCUGUCCAUGCUCCUUGGUUAGCUGAGCAAGGACCAUAACUCACCCUCCGUCCUCCAGAGCACACUCACAGAUGCCCCUUUGCAGGCCAUCUACAAGAUGGUGUCCUCCGUGAUGAAGAUGCCCGAGGACGGGUCCAUGCUCGAGAAGCGAAUAGACAAGAUCUUCAGGCAGAUGGACACAAACAAUGAAGGCAAAAUGUCCCUGGAAGAAUUCAACAAAGGUACCAAGAGGGACCCACCCAUUGUCCGGUUGCUGCAGUGUGACCCCAGCAGUGCUAGCCAGUUCUCAGGGGAAUGGGCUUUUACACAGGUGUGAGAAACACAGGCUUGACCUGCCAUCUUCAGCUUUGCUUGCAAAGGUGGAUUUCUUUGUGAUUUCUCCUGCUCUCUAGGGACCUGGGUCCAGGCAGCACAGCACACUCACCUGGUCUGGCUGGAUGCAGCUCCCUCCUCUGUCUGAUCCAAUAGAUGUCCCUCCCCAUCCAGUCCAGGCUGGUUCCUUCCAAGGUCCAAGUGUUCUUGGCUGUAGGGCUCCUUCCAUGCCCACAGAGAGCCUGGAGGCCCUUAAGGACACCAGACAGGUUUUUUCAGUAUCUUACUGAGACCAGCUGAUUUAUUUGAUGAUCCCAGCUGACUUUGUGAGGAUGAAGAAGAUGGAGAGCAGACAGGCAAGCCCUUCCUGUGCAUGGCUCCACCUCCCUUGUUCAUUUGCUCUGACCAAAGCUGCUUGCAUGUAUAUACCGUGGUAUCCUUACUUUUAAUAUAUAAGUUUUGUAUAAAGUGAGAAGGUUCAGCCCCUGUAUUUAAAGCCUCUGACUGCUGUUAAAGCAUGGUACCCUGUGGCCUGUGAUUCUCCCCACCCCCAAGUCUGGCUGUGCUGUGGUAUUUAUGUAUUCAUUUGCCUAAUUACACAGGAGAUACAAGAAUGCCCAAGGCUGUGGACAUCUGCCCUCCGUCCUGCAAAUACAGGUGUUCCUGUGUGCUCCAUCCUUCCUUUCCAUUGACUUGGCAUAUUAAAAUGAUCUAAUAAA